rnacentral:misc_RNA from 1 species
AUGUUAUUAAGUAUAUUGCCCCUGCUAUAUUUUGUUCUUGCUAUGGUUUGUUAUGUCAGUUUGCCCAAAUCUAUCAGAGAAAUACUCUGCAUGCUUUAAUUAAAAUAAGGGGAAAGUACAAAAAUGUACCAUGUCAUUUAGGCCAUUUUCAAGUAGGGUUCUAUGGUUUAGGUAUUGGCAAACUAGUACUUUGUGGUUAAGUCCAUUAGCAAAGAAGG